GACGAACGCUGGCGGCGUGCUUAACACAUGCAAGUCGAGCGGUAAGGCCCUUUCGGGGGUACACGAGCGGCGAACGGGUGAGUAACACGUGGGUGACCUGCCCUCAGCUCUGGGGAUAAGCCUGGGAAACCGGGUCUAAUACCGGAUAUGACUCCAUGACGCAUGUUGUGGGGUGAAAGCCUUGUGCGGCUGAGGAUGGGCCCGCGGCCUAUCAGCUUGUUGGUGGGUGAGGCCUACCAAGGCGACGACGGGUAGCCGGCCUGAGAGGGCGACCGGCCACACU
rnacentral:rRNA from 1 species